CCUACGGGCGGCAGCAGUGGGGAAUAUUGGACAAUGGGGGAAACCCUGAUCCAGCGACGCCGCGUGAGUGAAGAAGUAUUUCGGUACGUAAAGCUCUAUCAGCAGGAAAGAAAAUGACGGUACCUGACUCAGAAGCCCCGGCCAACUACGUGCCAGCAGCCGCGGUAACACGUAGGGGGCAAGCGUUAUCCGGAUUUACUGGGUGUAAAGGGAGCGUAGACGGCAGCGCAAGUCUGGAGUGAAAUGCCGCGGCCCAACCGCGGAACUGCACUGGAAACUGUGAAGCUGGAGUGCAGGGGAGGUAAGCGGAAUUCGUGGUGUAGCGGUGAAAUGCGUAGAUAUCAGGAGGAACACCGGCGGCGAAGGCGGCUUACUAGACUGUAACUGACGUUGAGGCUCGAAGGCGUGGGGAGCAAACAGGAUUAGAUACCCCAGUAGUC
rnacentral:rRNA from 1 species